GGGGGGGGGGGGGGGGGGGGGGGGGGGGGGGGGGGGGGGGGGGGGGGGGGGGGGUGGGUGCGCUGAGGUGCGCGGCGGGCGGGUGGGUCGCCGGGGGGGAACCUACCUAUAAGACUGGGAGAACUUCGGGAAACGGGAGCGAAUCCCGGAGCCUAUUUUGCACCUCCUGGUUCCAAAGUGCAAGACGGUCUUGCUGUUAGUUAUAGCUGGAUCCGCGCUGCAUUAGCUGGUUGGUAAGGUAACGGCUUACCAAGGAAACGAUGCAUAGCCGACCUGAGAGGGUGAUCGGCCACACUGGAACUGAGACACGGUCCAGACUCCUACGGGAGGCAGCAGUAGGGAAUCUUCCGCAAUGGGCGAAAGCCUGACGGAGCAACGCCGCGUGAGUGAUGAAGGUCUUCGGAUCGUAAAACUCUGUUAUUAGGGAAGAACAUAUGUGUAAGUAACUGUGCACAUCUUGACGGUACCUAAUCAGAAAGCCACGGCUAACUACGUG
rnacentral:rRNA from 1 species